GAGAGAGGAAUCUAUGGCAGUACAGUGGCAAAUUCGAGGGCGACAUCCUUUUGCCAAGCAAACGGAACGCGGCGACUAAUGUGAAUCUUUGAUGGCCGGGAGGCGUUGUGUGUUACACCAUUACUGGCAGUUUCAGUGCAUCGGACCGUAAUCUGAUAAUCACCACGCUGAGUACUGGGUUUCCGAAUACGUGCGUUUAUCCGUACCAGUCGACAACAUACUGUGGAGGAAGCGUGGUUCAGAUCACGAAUGCCGAUCCGAGCGGGUGUUACGCCGAGCUUGGUAGACAGGGGCGACCUCAAACUAUGAAUUUGGGAACCACCUGCGUACACCGUCACCAAAUUAUCCACGAAUUCAUGCACGCCGUCGGAUUUUACCACAUGCACAGUGUUCCAGACAGGGACAACUACAUUACAAUUUACCCCCAAAAUA